UAAUCCUUGCUCUCAUUUCUUGUAGUUGUCACCUCAGUUGUCACUACUACUGAGCCUCCAAAUGACUGUUUGAACGAUGGAAGCAAAGCCACUGGUAUUGAUUCUGAAAAAGCUUGUAAGAAAGAUCACAGUGAAGUCACUGUUACUGAUUCCAAAAAAGUUUGUCAGAAAGAUGAAAGCAGUCCAGUAUCGGGGGACCUGGAACUCAGCAAAGACCUUACCUGAUCAAGGGCAGUGGCUUAUGAGCAAUCACCUCCUGAUCCUUUCCAUACCAAGUGCUAAUGAUUUUCGAGUUCUGACUCUAUGAAGACGAAGCAUGGAAAAGGGAAGUUUCCAGAACAGACUCAAGUUUUUGAUUCACUAAGAAACUAAGUCAGGUCGACCAUCGUUCUUUGGUAAUUAUUUCUUGACAUCACACGUUUCCUAUAAAAUGUCAAAGCAGAGUAAGUGCAGUUAUCCUAUAACAUCUCGGCCACAAUGAGAGACAUUCAAGACAGACAGGUGACCGAGGCAUGAGCUCCUAAAGAUUCAGGGAAUUUGGAUUAAUCACU
rnacentral:lncRNA from 1 species